UACGUAGGGGGCAAGCGUUGUCCGGAAUCAUUGGGCGUAAAGCGCGUGUAGGCGGUUCGGUAAGUCUGCUGUGAAAGUCCAGGGCUCAACCCUGGGAUGCCGGUGGAUACUGUCGGACUAGAGUACGGAAGAGGCGAGUGGAAUUCCUGGUGUAGCGGUGAAAUGCGCAGAUAUCAGGAAGAACACCCGUGGCGAAGGCGGCUCUCUGGGACGGUACUGACGCUGAGACGCGAAAGCGUGGGGAGCGAACAGG
rnacentral:rRNA from 1 species